UACGAAGGGUGCAAGCGUUACUCGGAAUUACUGGGCGUAAAGCGUGCGUAGGUGGUUUGUUAAGUCUGUUGUGAAAGCCCCGGGCUCAACCUGGGAAUGGCAAUGGAUACUGGCAGGCUAGAGUGCGGUAGAGGGUAGUGGAAUUCCCGGUGUAGCGGUGAAAUGCGUAGAGAUCAGCAGGAAUACCCGUGGCGAAGGCCGGCCCCCUGGGCCGAACCUGACGCUGAGGCGCGAAGGCUAGGGGAGCGAACGGG
rnacentral:rRNA from 1 species